GGGUUCCUGGCAUGCUGAUUU
rnacentral:ncRNA from 13 species